rnacentral:rRNA from 1 species
CUACGGGCCGCACCAGUGGGGGAUAUUGCACAAUGGGCGAAAGCCUGAUGCAGCAACGCCGCGUGAAGGAAGACGGUUUUCGGAUUGUAAACUUCUAUCAGCAGGGAAGAAAAUGACUGUACCUGACUAAGAAGCCCCGGCUAACUACGUGCCAGCAGCCGCGGUAAUACGUAGGAGGCAAGCGUUAUCCGGAAUUACUGGGUGUAAAGGGUACGUAGGCGGCUGAUCAAGUCAGAUGUGAAAGCCCGGAGCUCAACUCCGGGACUGCAUUUGAAACUGGUCGGCUAGAGUGCAGGAGAGGAAAGUGGAAUUCCUAGUGUAGCGGUGAAAUGCGUAGAUAUUAGGAAGAACACCAGUGGCGAAGGCGGCUUUCUGGACUGUAACUGACGCUGAGGUACGAAAGCGUGGGGAGCGAACAGGAUUAGAUACCCGUGUAGUC